GGAAUAAAAGUCGUAACAAGGUUUCCGCAGGUGAACCUGCGGAAGGAUCAUUAUCGUAUAACCGAGGUGCGAGGGCUGUCGCUGACCCGAAAGGUCGUGCACGCCCGAGUGCCCUCACACACAUCCAUCUCACCCCUAUGUGCACCACCGCGUGGGUCCCCCUUUGGCUUGUUCGGAGGGGGGCUUACGUUUUCACACAAACUUUGUAUGCAGUGUAGAAUGUAUUUUUUGUUUUUGCGAUCACGCAAUCAAUACAACUUUCAACAACGGAUCUCUUGGCUCUC
rnacentral:misc_RNA from 1 species